UGUUAAAAAUUUCAUCACUUCUACUAUUAAAAAUCGGUUGUGGUUGACGGAAUAACCGUGUGUACUUCAUGCUAACAUAUAGGAAUUAGUUUUUAACAAUAAAAAUAGAUAAAAAUUUUAAUA
rnacentral:pre_miRNA from 1 species